CAAAAUUUUUUUUAAUAAAAUAUUUAAAAAUUGACUUGAUGUGUAGUUGUUUUGACAAAUGCAGUCAUAUAAUCACUAUAAUUAUGACAAAACAGUUCUAUCAUCCUCUAAAACAUUCUCUGCUGAUUAACUCCAUCUUUUAUGCUGGCAACCAGUGCUGUUCUAUCACAGUAUCAAAGUCAGCAAACUUUCUGGAAGGGGCCAUAUGUAAAUACUUUAUAGUUUUUUUGUAGUCUCUGUUGCCACCUGUUUGCUGUGGUAGUACAAAAAGCAGUCAUAGGUAAUAUUUAAAGAAAGCUGGAUGUUGUGGUGUAUGUAUCUGUAAUCAUAACACUUGAGAGGUGAAGGCAGGAUUGCUGUGAAGUCCCAGGCCAGCCUGGGCUACAUACUGAGUUCCUCAAUUACACAGUGAAACCCUAUCUGAAAAAAAAAAAAAAGACAGAACAUGGUUGUAUUUUAGUUGAACUAGUAAAACUUUUAUUUCUGGACACUGAAAUUUGAAUUUUAUCUAAUUUGCACAUGUCAACUCAUUUAAGAAUAUAAACACCUCUUACCUUUUACGCUGUAUAAAACAAGACUGAAUUUGGCCCAUAAGUCCUAGCUUGUUGACACAUCUUUUCUGUCUUAUAAGUGGAGUCACAUAGUAUAUAGCAUGUGCCUGGCAUUUUAUUUAGUAGUGUUUGGAAUUUUUAGAAAGUGUUUGGAAUGUAGUUGCAGGUGUCAACAGUCAUUUUAUUGCUGAGUAGGAUCCCACCCUAUGGAUGUACCAGUUACCCAUUCUCCAGGUACAUACACAGUGCUCUGUUUAGAUUACAUCCAGUUUUAAUGGUUAUAGUCAGCUGUAUACACACUGUAUAGGUUUUGGGUAAACAGGGUUUCAUUUCACUUGGCACAAACUUAUGAGUGGAAGCUGUACAAAUUUACAAACAGCUACAAAUCUAGUUCCAAGAGUGGCUGUGCCAUUUUUCACUCCAGCCAGCAACAAGUGUGUUCCAGUUGUGUUGUAAUUCUCCACAAAACUUAGUGCGAGUUUUGAGUUUUAUAUAUUCCUAAUACACACCUAUUGUUGGAGAAACGAUUUGCAAACAUUUUUUCCCAGCCUGUGGCUCAUCUGAUCAUACUCUUUUAAAAAAAUUUUUAUUUGGAAAAAAGAUGGAAAAGAAAGGAUAGUCAACUCCAGGGGGUGGUAGGGGGCAUCAGACCUGAAAGCCCCUUGUCAUUCUCUUAACUGCUUUGUUCAGAGUUCUUACUUUUGAGAAGCCCUGUUGAUUAGUUUUUUUCUCUUAUAAUCGGAUCAUGCCUUUGGUGUCCUGGCUAAAAUGCAUUGCUAGACCUGGUCACAAAUCUUUUUCUGUCAGUCUGUCUCUUGGCAGGACAGAUGCUGCUUCUGGGUAUGACCAACUUAAGCAUCCUUAACCCACCACAUGCACUUCAGGUCCAGUUAUUUAGGGGAGUACCUCUUUGGUUCCUGCUAGAACAUGUGCUUAGUCAUAGUAACUUUUGACUGUUUCCUUACCAUCUCUCUAGCCUCUGUACUCCUUCCAUCUCACAUGCUGCUAUUUGAUUAGCAAAAUGAUUUCAUGAAGAUUAACAUCCUUCUGAGUGUUAAAAAUAGCUGAUAUUUGCAUAAGCCACUGAAGGCUGAGCCUUUCUAUGUGUGCUGUGCAUACUGAAUCCUCACAACUUACACACUAAAAGUCAUCUUUUACCAGGAAGGGAAUGGGAAGAUCAGGUUUUAAGACACACCUAGAAAAUGGUGGAAAUGGGCCUGAGAUCUCUGACUAGACCCUUAAGUGGACCAUGGAGCUGAAACAGUAGUGUUUACACACUGUUGGGUAGAUUCCCAGGUUGGUAUUCAAGGUCCUUGAUACUGAUCUCACUCUGUGUUCCAGUACUCUCCUGCGUCAACCUUCACGUGCUGCCAGGCUCCUGUAUCCUCUAUGAAAACCUAAAUAUUCAUCACACCACCCUAUCAGGGAGCUGCCCUCUGGAAUCCUUUCUUAAUUCAUGUAACAGUUACUGUCAUGCAUUGCUUUUACUUUUAGGUCUCUCCAUUCAAACCGUGACUGUUUCUAGCCAUUCAGUAAAUGACAGCAAAUAGGAAAAUAACAAGGCCAGGCCAUAGUAAAUAUAUCAUUACAGAUCUCUGUGUGUAUAUGUAUGCUGUGCUGGGAACUGAACCCACAGCCUCAUGCGUGGGGUCAGACCCACAGGCACAAGCACUGAGCCACUUCCUUGGGCCUUUUUUAGAGACAAGAUCUUGCUAAGUUGUGUUGGGCUCCAACUUACAAUCCUCCUGUCUCAGCUUCCCAAGUGCUGGGAUUACAGCUGUGUACCAGCUUCUGAGUCUUAUGAUUUUGACUGGCAUAUCACAGGGCCAGUGGGCACAAAGGGGGUUCCUACUUUUGGAUACUAAGUAGUGUAAGAGUCUAGAUACAUUAAGAAAUAAUUACAUCUUAGUAUAUGUGCAGGCCAAAGCAAGCAUGAAAUAACUACAUCUUGAUGUCUUUUUGUUUUUUUUUUAAAGGGCUAUGGAACAACAGAUCAAAGUGUUGAGUAAUUCCCAACUAAUGUUGGUGAUUAUAGAUAACUUAAAUGACAAAUCGAGCUUGCUUUAGCAACAAUAAAUAUCCUAAGGAUUUUUAGCUGCUCCCACCUCCCAGUAUUAGGAAUCAAACCAACAGGGACUCUACCACUGAGGUAUAUCCCCAGAAUUGUUUUUUCUUUCUUUCUGAGAUGGUCUUGCUGAGUUGCCUAGCCUAGUUUUCAACUCGCAGUCCUCUUGCCGCAGCAUCCUAAAUAGCUGGGAUUACAGACGUGUGCUACCACACGCAGCUAUUUUUGAGUUUCUUAAUCUAACCUUCUUUCCUUUCCUAAUACCACCCAUUCUUUUGAGUAUAGCAGAAGUCAAAAACAGCCCAGAGUGAGACCAUUCAGGGAUUUCAGAGCAGCACACUGUACCAUAUUUCACUGUAUCAACUGAGCCAGGCUAAAGAAGCUAAGACACCAGCCAGGCUAAGAACCAGGAUGUGGCAGGCUUGGGUUCCCACACAACACAGAGCUCAAGGCCUUACCAUGACAGAUGCAGGAGGGCAGCUUUUCAAUUUAUUCUUCGUAGAUGUGGGUGUGGGAAUAAUCAACUCACCCACAUGCUACCUUGGUUCUCCCUCCUGUCCAGCUCAUCCCUGAGCUCCGGGUCCUGAAGCAGUGCUUACCCUGCUGAAUGCCUCCUUCAAGCCUGAAGAAGGCUAUGAGCUCCAUCCCUGAAGGUAUGGAAACCAACCUCAGAAUCUCUGCACGUAACAGUGCCCAAAUAGACAUAAAUGAAUGCUAAUAUACAAAUAGAGCAAACCAUUUUUCCUGUUGCUUGACAGGUUUGUGGAUGCUGCCUUCAAAGAGCCCCCAGUCCUCUCCGGCCCAUGCACAGUUCUCCUGGCUUCUGCCCCCCGUUUACACUGCAGACAGAAGACUCCCAGACACAAGGUCUCUGUCCCCCAAAGAUCUUACCAUGAAAGCUCACCAGACCUUGAGCUAAAGCUUGGACUUCUAGAACACUUGGACAGCUUACUGUGCUGCUGAAUUUGCAACUGGCCUGGCUGGAUCCUUACUCUCAUGUCCCCAGUGCCCAGAUGGGGAUAAGCUCAUACCCAGAUCCGUCCUGCCUCUGCAUCCUGGCCUGGAAAAAACCGAGUUUCACAGCCUCCACCAGAUCCCGCCUAUUUACUAUGACCAGGUCAGCCCUGGCAGCAAACAAACUGCAUCUAUAUUUGCAAUAGUAAGUGGAUGGAGUGAUGGUGCCACACAAUCAGGCAAAUCACAGGCAUCUGAGGACAAAAAGCAUGCUCAGAG